UACGUAGGGGGCCAGCGUUGUCCGGAAUCAUUGGGCGUAAAGCGCGCGUAGGCGGCCAGAUAAGUCCGGUGUGAAAGUCAAAGGCUCAACCUUUGAAUGCCGCUGGAAACUGCCUGGCUUGAGUCCGGAAGGGGCGAGUGGAAUUCCUGGUGUAGCGGUGAAAUGCGCAGAUAUCAGGAGGAACACCAAUGGCGAAGGCAGGUCUCUGGGCUGACACUGACGCUCAUGCACGAAAGCGUGGGGAGCAAACAGG
rnacentral:rRNA from 1 species